GGACGGUUAGCUCAGUUUGGUUAGAGCAUCUGAUUUACAUUCAGAGGGUCGCAGGUUCGAGUCCUGCACUGUCCA
rnacentral:tRNA from 1 species